rnacentral:lncRNA from 1 species
CACGAAAUAGUAUGAGGAAUUCCUCAGCUUCCUUUUCUUAGAACUUAGAGUUUCACUACUUUCCUUUCUUAAUGGAACCAGGUUCCUUAUCAUCAUCAUCAUCCCUCUUUAUUUUCACUGACUUGCCAACAGACUUUUCCUUCUCCUACGACUUGCUAUGUCUAUGUUUCACCAGAUUUCUCCACUUCUUCCUCAUCAAGCUUGUCAUCAUGCUUCUUUACUAUCUUGUCACUAGAACUUUUUGCCACCUUUUUACUGGAACCAGCAACAUCUUUCUUGGAAGAACUCUCAGCACACUUAGAGGUGUGCUUUUCAGGAAGAGAGUGCUUCUUUCUUGAAGACUUUCAGGACAAGGAAUUGGUUACUCUUUGGUUUCUUCAUCCACACUCACUACAAGAACAUUCUCAUUUUGUAUCACUUUUUCACUUUUGACAAACCUUCUCCUUCAUUUACUUUUUUUACUCUUCUUGAGGGAAAACUCUAGAGCCUCCUUUUCCUAAAACCUAGUAGUGAUUAGGAGUUAGCUCUGAAGUUUCCACUAGCUUAGUCAUAGCCUUGAUGAAACUAGCAUAUACCAAAUCAUUUGUGUCUUCUUCACUGUCAGGAUUUGUCUCAGGUACCACGAUAUUCAAGGGCUCAUCAUCAAAGUGGGGAGAGGGAUAGGAUCAACACUGACUUGGUCAGAUAACUCCUGACCUGAAUUCUCCUUGGAGAGAUCAGGUUCAUUAUUUGGGGCCCCAGUAGCAUCGUCUUGUGUUGGCUGUUCAAAAGGCAAAAUUGAUCCCUCUUCUAUUUCUUCCACCUAUGGCUCAGACCCUCACGCAAAUUCCUCUGUAAUAACACCUUCCGACAUAACGGACAAUGUAUUCUCUAUUUCCUACUUCUCUUGUGGUUCCAAAAAUACUUCAAUAGAUGAAUGAGUGAUGCCUUCAGAUUUAUCACUUGUCUAGGAGAUUUCAAACUUUUCAUUAUUAAUCAGCAGUUCUUCAUUCAAGUGCUCAUCUAUCGAUAGAGUGGAAGGUUCCUGAACGAGGUUUCCUUGUUCACCAUGAUGACUCUGUUUGUCUGGUGAGACUAGAGGAGGACAGACAUCUUAAGACAUGCUUAGAGGAGGAGUGGAGUUAAAGAGGGUAGGAAUAGAAGUGGAGUGGGGAGGAGAAUCUUCUUUAUGGUUUGGAGAGAGGUUUACCUAUGAAUUUCUUACUAGAGAGGACUCAAUAACGGUGUCAUCAGGAAUACUAACGGUUUUUUGAUUUUCAUACAAGAUGAGAUUUUUCCCGAGGUGCUCUAGAGAAAACAAACAAGGAAUUUUUGACUUUGAAAGAGAAAGGGUUGUGAUGUUGGUUUAAUGAUGAUGAGGGACCCAUUCUGAAAUUACAACAUAUUUUCUUGGGAGAUGUAUCGAUUAGAGAAGCUAGUGACAUUUGGGUUGUGACGUAUUGGAUGAAAAGACACAAAAUUAAAGAGACUGUCACGCUGAUGAUGAUACGGCAUUGUAUUUGUUCAUUUUAAAUUGCGAGAAAAGAACAAAAAAACCACUAACAUGCAUUAGAUAGCUAGGUUCCCUUAUAGGUCUGGCAAAUGAGUUUUAUCCCCUUAUUCAUCAUGCACUGCAGCAUCUGUUGUGGCAGUCAUCAUGCGUGUCUAUAUAGAGGUGAGUUAGACUUAGCCAGAAUAGUUUAGCUAGAUUUUACCUGACUAUGACUUUCAUAAUCAAUAAUCAGGAACUAGGUUCUCAGUUGUGUUUCAUCAUCCCCUAGUGCAAACUGAUCUUUCUUAAAAUGUUUUAUUCCUAGGGCUUUUAGUGAAGAUGAC